UUGUUAUUAAGGUUUUGAUUUGAGGUCUAUUAAUGAAAAUACAUUUUCUCCAUUUAUGAUUAAUCCCAAAUUUGAAGUUUUUCAUCUCCAUUAAGGAAGUUUCCAUCUUUUUUUUUUUCUAAAAUUUUAUGGUUAGACAUGACGAAAUACGAGUUGAAUAAUUUGUGUAUGGAUGAGAUUGAUCUAAUGAUUAAUGCUGAAGUACGAUGUAAACAUGACAUUUAUUGCAAAUGUAGACGUCUUGAUCAGAUUGUAAUUCCGGUAGAAGAUUUUGGGCGUGUCCUCAUUGUAAGGAUACGAAUUGCAAGUAUUUUAGAUGGAGAGAUUUAGAACGAGCAGACGAAAGAUCAAAAUUUAUUCUUCUAAGAUUGGUGAACAAGAUUAAUGAAUUAGAAAAUAAUUAUGAGCGAGUUAAGAUGCAACUGAAUAAGCUUGAAAGCUUGAAUAUUAGCAUAAUAAUCCCAACAAUAUGAAUGUGAAGGAUGAGGUUGAAAAUUUGCAGACUAAAUUUCAAAGUCUCAACAUCUAGACAAGUUGUUCAAAUGUGAAGGAUGAAGUAGAUGAGAAUGUGAUAGGUAAUUUGAAAGGGAAUGGCAAGUGCGAUUUGAAAGACAAGAGAAUGAAAAUGAAAAAAGAAGAAGAA